ensembl:lncRNA
UUUUUUUUUUCCUUUUCGAUCCAUUCGUCUCUGUGAAAUGAGUCCUUUCUCUCCCCUUAGCUUCGCCGUCCCUCUUCCUUCAGCCCUGCCGGCGCUCCGUUGGCGGCGGAGGGCAGCCCCGUCCCUCACAGUCUGCUCUCAUGGAAGAGAUGAAGGGUCGGAAUUAUCAUCUCGGGUUUCAAAGACCUCCGUCCUGGAUGGGGAGAGAAGUGAUCCCCUCAGGGGAGGAAAGUCCCCGCUCUUGAGAAACAAAGUAAACAACUUUGGAUUUCAGCAGGAUUUUAUUCUUUCUUUCAAGUGGGAAAUACACGUAGUAUUUCCCCUGAGAGUGUUGUGCGAC